rnacentral:misc_RNA from 1 species
GGAGGUUGCAGAUUUGGAGACGGUACUCAAGACACUUGAAUCUGCUUUGUCUCAAAUUAAAUGGCGCCUCAAACUUUCAUCAAAGCGUCGCCUUGAAACAGACAUUUUGGCCUUGUGCACUGAGAUGAGGCCAGUUGUAAUGGUGGACUAUGGAGGGAAGAUGCCUGAACUGCAAGAAAGGCUUUGUGCAUUCCUUAAGCAUUGCAAAGAGGAUUGCUCAAUAUUUAAGCCUUUGCAUGUCAUGGUUAUAGAAGAUAUGAUAUACUUGGUUCACGCAAGAGCAUUUGCGGAGUUUGUUAAGUCUAGUUUGAACUUGGAGACGCGACUGAUUUUUGUAGACCUUGAACAUGAUCCUCCAAAGAUGAUAACACAAGCAGAAGAAAGCUGCUUGGCUGCGGAACUUGUAUUGGCACAAAAGACAUUUUCGUCCAUCUUUUCUGAAAAUGGAAUAAAGAUGGAUCACUUGGAACAUCAGAAACCAGAAGUUAAAGCAAACACCGACUCAUCUUUAUAUAAGCCAACUUCUUCACUGUCUUCGGAUGUAAUUGAUCUCAGUGAUUGCAUUAAAGAUAGUCAUGUUACAGCCCCAACUCUAAAUGGAUGGUUGCUUGGUUAUCCUAUAGUUUACCUUUUUGGGAUGGCUCAUAUUGAAAAUGCCAUAUAUAACCUCUCUACCAAGUCUCUGAAUCUUUUCCAAGUCCUUGUUUGCAGGAGUGCCAGAUGCAAUAAAGGAUCUCAGGCUCAAAAAGAGGAACUAAUGAGUUUCUCUGUGCCAUAUGACUUGAGCUUGGAGGGAAUGGAUGAACCAUGGGUAGAGACAUUUUUGACUCGCAUAAAGGCAAAGCAAGAAAGAUGCAACCAAAUUUGGACAUCCCUACAGAUGGAGGUUAACUCUUGUUAUCCACAAGCAAUCGCGUUAUAGUAAGUUGCUGCAUUGUGCUUAGCCUCUAGGUAUUUGAUUUGAACAGUAUUGCAUAAUGUUUUUAUCAGCCAUUUUCCAUCAAACAUGGUAUCAGA